ensembl:miRNA
GCACAGCGCGGCGCUGUUCUGGGAACGCGCUCUCAUCACCCAACGUUGCCAACUGCAGAGCCGCGCUGAGC